UACGUAGGGCGCAAGCGUUGUCCGGAAUUAUUGGGCGUAAAGAGCUCGUAGGCGGUCUGUUACGUCCGCUGUGAAAACCCAGGGCUUAACCCUGGGCUUGCAGUGGAUACGGGCAGACUAGAGGCAGGUAGGGGAGAAUGGAAUUCCCGGUGUAGCGGUGAAAUGCGCAGAUAUCAGGAGGAACACCAGUGGCGAAGGCGGUGCUCUGGGCCGGAACUGACGCUGAGGAGCGAAAGCGUGGGGAGCAAACAGG
rnacentral:rRNA from 1 species